UGCAAAUUACCAUCGCAAACGCACGAGGCUGACGGUCCCCGGCUGCCGCACCUUUUAUGUUCUGGGCCUUGGCAGCUGUCUAGCGAAAAGCCCACCCUGCAGCCCUCACCCCCGCCCUAAACUCCCGUCCGAGGCUUGUCUUUCGUUGACAUCUCUCCAACCUCGUCAGCCAAAGCAAGAAAAGACACACAACUACACAAAGGGCCCGUUAUCCAGGCUCCAGUACAACAGCUAAAUGGGAGGACGACUGAACAGUUUCUGUAGUGACUCUCCACAGUUUUAUAGCGGGCCAGAUUUCAAGCCUGUUGAGUUGAGCAGAUGGCUUGGGACACUGACCGCAGCUGCCUUCUG